rnacentral:rRNA from 1 species
CGGCCGCGUCGACGUAACACGUGAGUAACCUACCCUUGACUUUGGGAUAACUUCAGGAAACUGGGGCUAAUACCGGAUAGGAGCUCCUGCUGCAUGGUGGGGGUUGGAAAGUUUCGGCGGUUGGGGAUGGACUCGCGGCUUAUCAGCUUGUUGGUGGGGUAGUGGCUCACCAAGGCUUUGACGGGUAGCCGGCCUGAGAGGGUGACCGGCCACAUUGGGACUGAGAUACGGCCCAGACUCCUACGGGAGGCAGCAGUGGGAAUAUUGCACAAUGGGCGGAAGCCUGAUGCAGCAACGCCGCGUGCGGGAUGACGGCCUCGGUGUAACGACUUCGUCCUCGUGACGAAGACGUGAGUGACGGUAAGUGGUAAGGAAGACACGGCGUACUACGUGCACGCAGCGCGGUGAGUACGUAGGUGCGAGCGUGUCGGUACGUUAUUGGUCGGUCGGUACGCGGCCGACGUCGUGGGUAGGGCGAAGGACGACGACAGGGAGUAGGAG